ACCCAUUGCACUACCUAGCAAAGUAGACAAGAAGAGUUAGAAACCAUAAUUAAGCAAGCAGUUAACCAUGGAUAUACACGUAAAGAAAUAUUGAAAUUGUGGCAAAGUGUAAAUAACAGAAAAGACAAAAAAAAAGAAAAAUGGAAGGCAAAAAGAGAUGGACCCCAUACACGAUAGUGUCUAACCCAAUUGUUCUUAAAUAAAGAAAAUGUUGCAAAGAGCGACGGGGAGAAGUAUACAGUUUUCAAGGAGAAAUACAGUUUUCAAUAUGACAAGGAAUGACAAAGAUCGAAGAAAUAGGUUAGAUAUCCCAGGAGUUUACCAAAUUAAAAUUGAUGACAAGGACACUAAUAGAGAAGAAAUAUAUAUAAGAUCAACAGUAAGGUCAGUAAAUAAAAGGAUACAAGAGCAUAAAGCAGAUAAAGAAAAAGAAAAAAACGACGGCUCUAGUGCAAAGGCUUAAUGCAUACAAAGUGAUACCAGAUUGACACGAAAUGCAGAACAUUAACAUAAUAACAGACCUAGAACAGAUUAGAACUGCGGAGGCAGUAGAAGUUCUGGCCAGAAGGUUAAGAGGGGAACACGUUAUAAAC
rnacentral:lncRNA from 1 species